rnacentral:rRNA from 1 species
UCCAGGCCCUACGGGGCGCAGCAGUCGCGAAACCUCCGCAAUACGCGAAAGCGUGACGGGGUCAUCCCGAGUGCCGUCCGCUGAGGAUGGCUUUUCCCCAGUGUAGACAGCUGGGGGAAUAAGGAGAGGGCAAGUCGGGUGUCAGCNCGCGAACGUA